rnacentral:rRNA from 1 species
GACGAACGCUGGCGGCGUGCUUAACACAUGCAAGUCGAACGGUGAAGGGACCAGCUUGCUGGUUCUGAAUGUUUGUCGAACGGGUGAGUAACACGUGAGUAACCUGCGCCCUUCUUCUGGAGAACCGCAUGGAAGACGGGCUAUUACGGGAUAUUCUGGGUCUGUUGCAUGUCGGGCCCAGGUGAGAUAUUGCUUCUGCGGGUGAUGGGGUCGCGGCCUAUCGGCUUGUUGGUGGGGUGAUGGACUACGAAGGCGGGGACGGGUAGCCGGAGUGAGAGGGUGGACGGUGACACUGGGACUGAGCCAAGGCCCAGACUGCUAGGGGAGGCAGCAGUGGGGAAUAUUGGAAAAUGAGCGCAAGCCUGAUGCAGCGACGCAGCGUGAGGGAUGGAGGCGUUCGGGAUGUAAACCUCUUGCGACAGUGAAGCAGGCCUGCUAUUUGUGGGUGGAUUGACGGUAGCUGGAUAAGAAGCGCCGGCUAACUACGUG